rnacentral:rRNA from 1 species
UACGUAGGGACCAAGCGUUGUUCGGAUUUACUGGGCGUAAAGGGCGCGUAGGCGGCGUGGUAAGUCACUUGUGAAAUCUCUGAGCUUAACUCAGAACGGCCAAGUGAUACUGCUGUGCUAGAGUGCAGAAGGGGCAAUCGGAAUUCUUGGUGUAGCGGUGAAAUGCGUAGACAUCAGGAGGAACACCGAUGGCGAAGGCAGGUCACUGGGCCGCAACUGACGCUGAGGAGCGAAAGCAUGGGGAGCGAACAGG